UGGGGAAUAUUGGACAAUGGGCGAAAGCCUGAUCCAGCAAUACCGCGUGUGUGAAGAAGGCCUUCGGGUUGUAAAGCACUUUAAGUUGGGAAGGAAAAACUUUACCUAAUACGUGAAGUCUUGACGGUACCGACAGAAUAAGCACCGGCUAACUCUGUGCCAGCAGCCGCGGUAAUACAGAGGGUGCUAGCGUUAAUCGGAUUUACUGGGCGUAAAGCGUGCGUAGGUGGUUUGAUAAGUCGGUUGUGAAAGCCCCGGGCUCAACCUGGGAAUUGCGGCCGAUACUGUCAGACUCGAAAACGGUAGAGGGAGGUGGAACUCCAGGUGUAGCGGUGAAAUGCGUAGAUAUCUGGAAGAACAUCGAUGGCGAAGGCAGCCUCCUGGGCCUGUUUUGACACUGAGGCACGAAAGCGUGGGUAGCAAACA
rnacentral:rRNA from 1 species